rnacentral:rRNA from 1 species
UACGUAGGCAGCAAGCGUUGUUCGGAGUUACUGGGCGUAAAGGGUGUGUAGGCGGUUCUUUAAGUUUGGUGUGAAAUCUCCCGGCUCAACCGGGAGGGUGCGCCGAAUACUGAGUGACUAGAGUGCGGGAGAGGAAAGUGGAAUUCCUGGUGUAGCGGUGAAAUGCGUAGAUAUCAGGAGGAACACCGGUGGUGUAGACGGCUUUCUGGACCGUAACUGACGCUGAGACACGAAAGCGUGGCUAGCAAACAGG